rnacentral:rRNA from 1 species
GACGAACGCUGGCGGCGUGCUUAACACAUGCAAGUCGAGCGGUAAGGCCCUUUCGGGGUACGACGAGCGGCGAACGGGUGAGUAACACGUGGGUGACCUGCCCUCCAGCUCUGGGAUAAGCCUGGGAAACCGGGGUACUAAUACCGGAUAUGACUCCAUGACGCAUGUUGUGGGGUGGAAAGCCUUGUGCGGCUGAGGAUGGGCCCGCGGCCUAUCAGCUUGUUGGUGGGGUGAUGGCCUACCAAGGCGACGACGGGUAGCCGGCCUGAGAGGGCGACCGGCCACACUGGGACUGAGACACGGCCCAGACUCCUACGGGAGGCAGCAGUGGGGAAUCUUGCGCAAUGGGCGAAAGCCUGACGCAGCGACGCCGCGUGAGGGAUGA